GGCUUGUUGAAAUAUUUCUAGGUCUGGCCUGCCCCUGAKAAAAUUUGAAUGGCCGCGGUAUAUUGACCGUGCAAAGGUAGCAUAAUCACUAGUUUUUUAAUUGGAAGCUUGAAUGAAAGGUUUGAUGAGAAAAUAACUGUCUCUGGAGAAGUUUAUUGGAAUUUUAUUUUUAAGUAAAAAAGCUUAAAUUUUUAUUGAAGACGAGAAGACCCUAUAGAGUUUAAUAAAUAGAUUAAGGUUUAAAGAUUAGGAAUUAAAAUUUUAGUUUGAUCAAUAUUUAUUUUGUUGGGGUGAUAGAAAAAUUAAUAAAACUUUUUUUUUAUUUUUAUAUUGAUUUAUAAGUAUAUGAUCCUAUUAAGAUUAAAAGAUUAAAUUACCUUAGGGAUAACAGCGUAAUUUUUUUUAGAGUUCUUAUCGAAAGAAAAGAUUGCGACCUCGAUGUUGGAUUAAAAUUAAUUGUUGGUGAAKAAGCUAAUAAGAUAGGUCUGUUCGACCUUUAAAAUUUUACAUGAUCUGAGUUUAAACCGGUGUGAG
rnacentral:rRNA from 1 species